GGUCCUUUGUCCCUUUGGAGGAAACACUAUAAUGAGUCUGAAGAUAUCUAUUUCUUUAGUGGUAUAUUAAAGUGACAAUAAUUAACAAUGUAUACUGAAUUUAAUAACCAAUGUGGUAUUACAAUGUUUAUUUCAUCGGUUUGCCUUUCACAUUGGGUGAGAGUUUGACAAGAACAAAAUAAUAAUAAAUGUAAAAUAAUCUCUACUUUUAUGAAGCACCUAUGCCUAACUAAUAAUGGAACACAAAUAUGUCAUAUUCUACAACGGCAUCUCCUUUUGUAUAAUCAACCGAAUAAAACUUAGCCUGAGCAUAUCCACGUACGAAACGAAAUGCCCCGGUUCCACCAACUAUGGCCAUUUCUCUAACAGGUUCACUCAUGAUCAUGUUUCUACCCAAUAUGCUAAGUGUGCUUCCAUUAAAAUGUCCAUCAGUGAAUGCCAUGGUCAUCACCAUCAUUAGUCCCAUCUCCUCUUGUGAUAUAGAAGUGUAAAUUCCUUGAGCCUUACCCACAAGUUUCGAGUCACGUUCGGGCCCAGCCGUCAAUGGAUCGUCCAUGGCCACAACCGUCCCGAAUGGCAACGCAUUUUUUACCUUGCCAUUAGGCUCAGCUAUAAAUACCAUGCUUGGUUUUGGUCCCGACACAAUGUCAUGAAAGUAAAAGUGAAGGUGAGUGAAUUUCUCUUCUUGAAAACCCAGCAUUGUUGGAGAUAGGCUUUGAUAGUAAUUAGUGGCCGUGGUAAGGGAUAUUAUGGAGAGGAAAGUAAGGUUCAAAGAAAUUAGAAGAGUUAUGGGGAAUGUUGAGGAUUUUGCCAUGGUUGUGUUAAUGAACUAAUAACUAUGAACUCAGAUCCGAUUGGUGGUAUAUUUCAAUUAGUUUUUAUACAUGCCUAUUUAUAAUAGGGGGUGGCUGCUUCACUUAUUUGUCUAUAGUGUUUGUUGCAACUUGCACCUCAAAUAGUUGAGUCAACACGCAUUAUUGUCUUUAACUUGUUUUUUUGACCAAAAACUUCUAGAUAUCAAAAUAUUAU
rnacentral:lncRNA from 1 species